GACGAACGCUGGCGGCGUGCCUAAUACAUGCCAGUAGAACGCUGAAGGAGGAGCUUGCUUCUCUGGAUGAGUUGCGAACGGGUGAGUAACGCGUAGGUAACCUGCCUGGUAGCGGGGGAUAACUAUUGGAAACGAUAGCUAAUACCGCAUAAUAGCAGUUGUUGCAUGACAACUGUUUGAAAGGUGCAAUUGCACCACUACCAGAUGGACCUGCGUUGUAUUAGCUAGUUGGUGGGGUAACGGCUCACCAAGGCGACGAUACAUAGCCGACCUGAGAGGGUGGUCGGCCCACAUGGGACUGGGACAAGGCCCAGACUCCUUCGGGGGGGAGCAGUAGGGGAACUUCGGCAAUGGGCGGAAGGCUGACCGAGCAACGCCGCGGGAGGGAAGAAGGGUUUCGGAUCGUAAAGCUCUGUUGUAAGGGAAGAAAGAGUGUGAGGGUGAAAAGUUCACACUGUGACGGUAUCUAAACAGAAAGGGACGGCUAACUACGUG
rnacentral:rRNA from 1 species